rnacentral:rRNA from 1 species
AUUGAACGCUGGCGGCAGGCUUAACACAUGCAAGUCGAACGAGUGGCGGACGGGUGAGUAAUGCAUGGGAAUCUGGCUUAUGGAGGGGGAUAACGACGGUAAACUGUCGCUAAUACCGCGUACCAUAGGAUGAGCCCAAGUGGGAUUAGGUAGUUGGUGGGGUAAUGGCCUACCGAGCCGACGAUCUGUAGCUGGUCUGAGAGGACGAUCGGCCAAACUGGGACUGAGACACGGCGCGGAUGCCUACGGGAGGCAGCAGUGGGGAAUAUUGCGCACUGGGGGGAACCUUACGCAGCCAUGCUGUGUGUAUGUAGAAGGCCUGGGGGUUGUAAUGUUCUUCCGGUUUAGAGGCGUUAAUCACAGAAGAAGCAACGGCUAACUUCGUGCCAGCAGCCGCGGUAAUUC